rnacentral:tRNA from 1 species
CACCAUUCAUUGACGAUGAUGGUCUCGGGCUUUUGCCAGGCCCGCAUCAUCAGGUUCAGGUCCUGAUGAUGGUGA